CGGGUGAGUAAUGUCUGGGAAACUGCCUGAUGGAGGGGGAUAACUACUGGAAACGGUAGCUAAUACCGCAUAACGUCGCAAGACCAAAGAGGGGGACCUUAGGGCCUCUUGCCAUCGGAUGUGCCCAGAUGGGAUUAGCUAGUAGGUGGGUAAUGGCUCACCUAGGCGACGAUCCCUAGCUGGUCUGAGAGGAUGACCAGCCACACUGGAACUGAGACACGGUCCAG
rnacentral:rRNA from 1 species